rnacentral:rRNA from 1 species
UAUUUCAGCCAUACAACCUGCAGUUUAGACCAGGUUAUCUGUCUGAAGCUAAGCUGGUUUGGGCUUGGUCCCUAGUGGGAUGGGAGACCAACUAGGAAAGAUGAACUGCUACUGAAAAAU